rnacentral:rRNA from 1 species
GACGAACGCUGGCGGCGUGCUUAACACAUGCAAGUCGAACGGAAAGGCCCUGCCUUUGUGGGGUGCUCGAGUGGCGAACGGGUGAGUAACACGUGAGUAACCUGCCCUUGACUUUGGGAUAACUUCAGGAAACUGGGGCUAAUACCGGAUAGGAGCUCCUGCUGCAUGGUGGGGGCUGGAAAGUUUCGGCGGUUGGGGAUGGACUCGCGGCUUAUCAGCUUGUUGGGGGGGUAGUGGCAUACCAAGGCUUUGACGGGUAGCCGGCCUGAGAGGGUGACCGGCCACAUUGGGCCUGAGAUACGGCCCAGUCUCCUACGGGAGGCAGCGGUGGGGAAUAUUGCACAAUGGGCGGGAGCCUGAUGCAGCGACGCCGCGUGCGGGAUGACGGCCUUCGGGUUAUAAACCGCUUUCGCCUGUGACGAAGCGUGGGUGACGGUAAUGGGUAAAGAAGCACCGGCUAACUACGUG